UUGUAGUUAUUUAUUUAUAUCAUUUAGAUUUAUAGUCAUAGAAGUAUGACAAACACAUUCACAAAUUUGUAUCCUCUCCUUUGACUUGAAUAUUCUUUUUUUAAAGAAAAGCAAUUAGAGACGAUCCACCGACCGGCUUGAUUGGUCUAUGCAUUUGAAACCUGCACACAGAUGCGCCGUCGCCAUGUACAAUGUGACAACACUUCUGACGUGAGCUCUCUUCCCCUUGUCUCAGCAGGGUGUCACUUCAUCAAUUAUUGAAGCUCUACUUCACGUCAUUUCCUGAAAAUCCUCCAGGAUGGGGAUCUGUUCCAUCACGGGGAGGGAGGAAGUGAUCAAAUAAUCACAAUAAUUAAUACAGUAGACAUCGGCUGUUAUGUGAGGUCAUCUUGUUCAAGUGGACCACGAAUACGCUGAGAUGAUCACAUUUAAUGGGCUUUAUUAAGAGGCAAGAAGAAGAUUCCUCCAAGUAAAUGAAUGAUAAACAUCGGGUGCGAUGCUCUGCGGGCUUUCAAGAUGAGCUGCUAAAUAAUGGAUAAGAACAGAUGGCUGCAGUGAGAGCAACAUGAGCGCCUACAUGUUAAAUUGUUUUAAAGAACAUGUCACAACAGCAGCCGAGCUGUGUUGGCUGUCUGUCGGUCAUCGCGCUAACAAAAGAGAGAGACACCCGGGCUGCUUUUCACUUCCCCUCGACUGGCACGUGGACACAGUUCCGCUGAUGACGGCUGAUUGGAUAUUACUGUCUUUGAUUAAAGUGCACGUUCACUUCAAGAUCAA